UUGGAGGGCAAGUCUGGUGCCAGCAGCCGCGGUAAUUCCAGCUCCAAUAGCGUAUAUUAAAAUUGUUGCAGUUAAAAAGCUCGUAGUUGAAUUUCGGGAUCAAUUUGCUGGUCGAGACCUCCGGUACGUACUUGUAUUAUUGAUUUCUUUCAUUCUGAUAAUCAUGGAUGUCAUUAAUUUGAUGACUAUGAGGAAUCGAAACUUUUACUUUGAAAAAAUUAGAGUGUUUAAAGCAGGCUUAUUAGGCUUGAAUACAUUAGCAUGGAAUAAUGAAAUAGGACGAUUGAUCCUAUUUUUGUUGGUUUCUAGGAUUAAACGUAAUGAUUAAUAGGGAUAGUUGGGGGCAUUAGUAUUCAAUUGUCAGAGGUGAAAUUCUUGGAUUUAUUGAAGACUAACUACUGCGAAAGCAUUUGCCAAGGAUGUUUUCAUUAAUCAAGAACGAAAGUUAGGGGAUCGAAGACGAUCAGAUACCGUCGUAGUCUUAACCAUAAACUAUGCCGACUAGGAAUCAGACGAUGUUAAUUUUUUAAUGACUCGUUUGGCACCUUACGGGAAACCAAAGUGUUUGGGUUC
rnacentral:rRNA from 1 species